rnacentral:tRNA from 1 species
AGAGGGUGUCAUAAGAUCUGCUAACUCUUUAACCUGGUAAUAACACCCAGCCCCC